GACGAACGCUGGCGGCGUGCCUAAUACAUGCAAGUAGGACGCAGUUGCGAACGGGUGAUUAACGCGUUGGUUCCUACCUAUGAGAGGGGGAUAACUAUUGGAAACAAUCGCCAAUACCGCAUACUAGUAUAUGGACCUUCGUUGUAUUAGCUAGUAGGUAGGGUACUGGCCUACCUAGGCAACGAUACAUAGCCGACCUGAGAGGGUGAUCGGCCACACUGGGACUGAGACACGGCCCAGACUCCUACGGGAGGCAGCAGUAGGGAAUCUUCGGCAAUGGGGGGAACCCUGACCGAGCAACGCCGCGUGAGUGAAGAAGGUUUUCGGAUCGUAAAGCUCUGUUGUUAAGGAAGCGGUACUUAACCAGAAAGGGACGGCUAACUACGUGCCAGCAGCCGCGGUAAUUC
rnacentral:rRNA from 1 species